rnacentral:rRNA from 1 species
AGUGAACGCUGGCGGUAGGCCUAACACAUGCAAGUCGAACGGCAGCACAGUAAGAGCUUGCUCUUACGGGUGGCGAGUGGCGGACGGGUGAGGAAUACAUCGGAAUCUACUUUUUCGUGGGGGAUAACGUAGGGAAACUUACGCUAAUACCGCAUACGACCUACGGGUGAAAGCAGGGGAUCUUCGGACCUUGCGCGAUUGAAUGAGCCGAUGUCGGAUUAGCUAGUUGGCGGGGUAAAGGCCCACCAAGGCGACGAUCCGUAGCUGGUCUGAGAGGAUGAUCAGCCACACUGGAACUGAGACACGGUCCAGACUCCUACGGGAGGCAGCAGUGGGGAAUAUUGGACAAUGGGCGCAAGCCUGAUCCAGCCAUACCGCGUGGGUGAAGAAGGCAUUAGGGUUGUAAAGCCCUUUUGUUGGGAAAGAAAAGCAGCAGGUUAAUACCCCGCUGUUCUGACGGUACCCAAAGAAUAAGCACCGGCUAACUUCGUG